CUGUGGGUAGUUCAAUAGGCAGAAACAUUCUAUCGUAAAGCCGCUGUAUGAUAAAACGACCGCGACCUAGGCGAUGUUGAAAAGAUGUGAGUUCGAAUCCCACCCCACAGG
rnacentral:tRNA from 1 species